rnacentral:rRNA from 1 species
CCUACGGGUGGCAGCAGUGAGGAAUAUUGGUCAAUGGACGAGAGUCUGAACCAGCCAAGUAGCGUGAAGGAUGACUGCCCUAUGGGUUGUAAACUUCUUUUAUAAAGGAAUAAAACGAGGCACGUGUGCCUUUUUGCAUGUACUUUAUGAAUAAGGAUCGGCUAACUCCGUGCCAGCAGCCGCGGUAAUACGGAGGAUCCGAGCGUUAUCCGGAUUUAUUGGGUUUAAAGGGAGCGUAGAUGGGUUGUUAAGUCAGUUGUGAAAGUUUGCGGCUCAACCGUAAAAUUGCAAUUGAUACUGGCAGUCUAGAGUACAGUUGAGGUAGGCGGAAUGCGUGGUGUAGCGGUGAAAUGCUUAGAUAUCACGAAGAACCCCGAUUGCGAAGGCAGCUUACUAAACUGUGACUGACAUUGAUGCUCGAAAGUGUGGGUAUCAAACAGGAUUAGAUACCCGAGUAGUC